rnacentral:rRNA from 1 species
UGAGGAAUAUUGGUCAAUGGGCGCAAGCCUGAACCAGCCAUCCCGCGUGCAGGAAGACGGCGCUAUGCGUUGUAAACUGCUUUUCCAGGGGGAGAAACUUGCGCACGUGUUGCGCAAUUGACGGUACCCUGGGAAUAAGCAUCGGCUAACUCCGUGCCAGCAGCCGCGGUAAUACGGAGGAUGCGAGCGUUAUCCGGAUUCAUUGGGUUUAAAGGGUGCGUAGGCGGACUAUUAAGUCAGUGGUGAAAUCCUGCAGCUUAACUGCAGAACUGCCAUUGAUACUGAUAGCCUUGAGUUUGGUUAAGGUAGGCGGAAUGUGUAAUGUAGCGGUGAAAUGCUUAGAUAUUACACAGAACACCAAUUGCGUAGGUAGCUCACUGAGCCGACACUGACGCUGAGGCACGAAAGCGUGGGGAUCGAACAG